GCUCAAACUUGCUGAACACGCCUAGUUAGGGAUCAAGGCCUCUCUUACUCCAAACAACAUGCCGCCCAAGUCGAAGGCGCCGAGUAAUAGAGGUCCUAUGCCUGGACUGGAAACUUAUGCGCAAGGGAAACCACCAGCGCCUGUGCAGAAACCACCUGCUUCUAAUGGUGAAAAGAAGAAAGAUAAAGCACUAAGGAACAAGCCGGAUAAAAAUGGCAAGGAUACAAGUACUUCCAAUUAAUCGGCAAUUCAGGAUCCAGAUAUAAAAUAAUUCUCUUGUUUGGAUUGAUCGAUGCCGAAGAAGAAUGAUAUGAGAAUCUACUGCAGACUUGCUAGUAUUUAUUAGUAAAUGUUAAGAGGUGGAAAGGAAAUAUGGAUCAAUCUAGUGUUAGUAGUUUGUACGUGCUUGCUUGGUGCAUUUGUACACUGUCCUAAGUUCAUAUGUUGGUCUUGUAUUCACAUGUAUUAAUAAAUUGGGAUUGUAUUGAG